rnacentral:rRNA from 1 species
GACGAACGCUGGCGGCGUGCUUAACACAUGCAAGUCGAGCGGAAAGGCCCUGCUUUUGUGGGGUGCUCGAGUGGCGAACGGGUGAGUAACACGUGAGUAACCUGCCCUUGACUUUGGGAUAACUUCAGGAAACUGGGGCUAAUACCGGAUAGGAGCUCCUGCUGCAUGGUGGGGGUUGGAAAGUUUCGGCGGUUGGGGAUGGACUCGCGGCUUAUCAGCUUGUUGGUGGGGUAGUGGCUUACCAAGGCUUUGACGGGUAGCCGGCCUGAGAGGGUGACCGGCCACAUUGGGGCUGAGAUACGGCCCAGACUCCUACGGGAGGCAGCAGUGGGGAAUAUUGCACAAUGGGCGGAAGCCUGAUGCAGCAACGCCGCGUGCGGGAGGACGGCCUUCGGGUUGUAAACCGCUUUCGCCUGUGACGAAGCGUGAGUGACGGUAAUGGGUAAAGAAGCACCGGCUAACUACGU